GGUGUUCUGUUUAUCUGUGCUACCCGUAAAUCCGUCCUACCUUGUGGUAAAUCGCACAUCGAUGCUACGUCACAUACUGCUUACUCAGCAAAUUUCUUAUAAAUACGUCCUACAUGUGAAAGUUUUGUUUCAUGUGUUUUAUUUCAUUGAAGAUUACGGUUAGCUUUAUUUAAUUUAUUUUAUACCUGGCUUUCAUUAAGCUGCUCUAUUACUUAAUGUUUUUACUUUACAUGACAGGCAGCUUAUAAAUUUAG